rnacentral:rRNA from 1 species
GUCUAUGGCCGUACCACUUUGAAAGCACCCGAUCUCAUCUGAUCUCAGAAGCUAAGCAGGGUCAGGCCUGGUUAGGUACUUGGAUGGGAGGAAAGUCUCCUUUUAGUAGAGC